UUUAAAUUUAAAUGUUUAAGUCGCUUUGGAUAAAAGCGUCUGCUAAAUGACUAAAU
rfam:Danio rerio chromosome 20, GRCz11 reference primary assembly.